AAUGAUAGUUGACUGCUAUUUUAAUAAAGUAGAGGAAAGUCCAUGCUAACACUAUCUGAGAUGGUAGUAGUGUUUGUGCAGAUAAAUAAAAAAUAAAAUCUGGAAGUUUAAAAGCUUAUGACUUUACUUUAACCUAAAGAAAUAUUAUUUCCAUGGUUAAGUAUUUAAAGUGCCACAGAGACGAGCAAAGAAGAAAUUUUUUGUGUGAAACGCGGUAAACUCCACAAGUUAGAAACCUAAAUUUUGGUAAGGGAACUGCAUAUGAAAGAAAUGAAUUUCAUAGCGGAAGAAUUUUAUUCUUAGAUAAAUAGUCAACAUCUAGAUAAUAGAUACAGAACAUGGCUUAUUUC
rnacentral:RNase_P_RNA from 1 species